UACGUAGGGUGCGAGCGUUGUCCGGAAUUAUUGGGCGUAAAGAGCUCGUAGGCGGUCUGUCGCGUCGGAUGUGAAAGCCCGGGGCUUAACCCUGGACCUGCAUUCGAUACGGGCAGACUAGAGUUCGGUAGGGGAGACUGGAAUUCCUGGUGUAGCGGUGAAAUGCGCAGAUAUCAGGAGGAACACCGGUGGCGAAGGCGGGUCUCUGGGCCGAAACUGACGCUGAGGAGCGAAAGCGUGGGGAGCAAACAGG
rnacentral:rRNA from 1 species